ensembl:lncRNA novel transcript, antisense to C7orf33 and CNTNAP2
AGUACUCAAGAUCAGACCAUGCUACUGCUUUCACUCCCUGCAGAUGGUCAUAUUUUUGAGGCCUUCAUUCAUUUAAUUGUCUUUUUUGUGUUAUCUCUAAAUUCUCCAUGGCUCUGGACAGUAAUUAAACAUAAAGGAGAGAAGUUCUCCCGCCAGCUGUCCUGCGUCACUCCUUCAGUUCUCAGCUUAGAUUUCCUGUCCUUGGGAAGCUGUCAUCAUCCUUCUAUCUUUACACCCCAUGAUUUACCCCUUGCAGUGUACUUAUUACACUGUAUUGGAAUCGCUUCUUUUCUCUUUCUCUGUGAAUUUCUUGAGAGCACAGACUACAUUCUGCUUAACUUUUUAUCCCCAGCUUUCAGCACAGUGCCUGGCUGCUUUGGCGUCUCCAAGUACCUGACCUCAGCUCAACCUGUCUUGGGUUUUCUUCUCCUCCCUGACAUUGACAACCCAGCCCUCCUAGGCACAGAGAGAUGGAGCUGAGUGUGGUUUUCCUGAAAUAAAGCUUGCAUUAUGAGAGGGAAUAAACAGAAGAAAAAAAUAGUAAGUAAAAUCUUGCUUGCCUCUCAGUAAAAUAAAGCUCUAUUUUUCGUUUUUUUUUUUUCCAACUUCCUGUACAAAAAAGGGAAAACUUUAGCUUUUGGGGGAAAUUUGGAGCUAGCCUGUUGGUACUGUUGAGCUUAGUGUAUCUAUAACUAUAUAUUAUUCCACAAUAUCUUAAAUACUUUAUAAAGAUAUUUUCAUAAAUUACAGCAAUCCUGGCUUUAGAUGAUUGAUGGCCAUUUUUAAACAAUUAAAGCUAAUUUCUAGCUUUUUAUGAGUUUGGUAUUAAGCACAGUAGUUUCUUAGAAAGUCUCCAGGGAAUGCAUUUUGCAAAAUAAAAAUCAGCUAAUGACCCAGGAAAGC